GAUGAACGCUGGCGGCGUGCUUAACACAUGCAAGUCGAACGAUGAAAGCGGGAGCUUGCUCCUGCUGGAUUAGUGGCGAACGGGUGAGUAACACGUGAGCAAUCUGCCCCGAACUCUGGGAUAAGCGUUGGAAACGACGUCUAAUACCGGAUACGACGCGCGAAGGCAUCUUCUGCGCGUGGAAAGAACUUCGGUUCGGGAUGAGCUCGCGGCCUAUCAGCUAGUUGGUGAGGUAGCGGCCCACCAAGGCGACGACGGGGAGCCGGCCUGGGAGGGUGACCGGCCACACUGGGACUGAGACACGGCCCAGACUCCUACGGGAGGCAGAAGUGGGGAAUAUUGCACAAUGGGCGCAAGCCUGAUGCAGCAGCGCCGCAUGCGGGAUGACGGCCUUCGGGUUGUAAACCGCUUUUAGUAGGGAAGAAGCCUUCGGGUGACGGUACCUGCAGAAAAAGGACCGGCUAACUACGUGCCAGCAGCCGCAGUAACAC
rnacentral:rRNA from 1 species